ACUCAGCCUCAUCCAGGUUG
rnacentral:snRNA from 1 species